UACGUGGGGUGCAAGCGUUGUUCGGAAUUACUGGGCGUAAAGCGCGUGUAGGCGGUUCGCUAAGUUCGAUGUGAAAGCCCUGGGCUUAACCCAGGAACUGCAUUGAAAACUGGCAGACUUGAGUCCGGGAGAGGGUCGCGGAAUUCCUGGUGUAGAGGUGAAAUUCGUAGAUAUCAGGAGGAACACCGGUGGCGAAGGCGGCGACCUGGACCGGUACUGACGCUGAGACGCGAAAGCGUGGGGAGCAAACAGG
rnacentral:rRNA from 1 species